rnacentral:snRNA from 1 species
AUAUUUAACUGACAAGAGAGAGAACGUGAUCACAAAGUUGAUUUUCCUAGGGCCUCGCUCAUUGCACUCUGGAUGUGCUAACCCCUGUGAUUUUCCCACAUGUGGGAAACUUGACUGCAGAAUUUGUGCUGGUGGGUUAAAAAACAAAAAAACAAAAAAAGUCCCA